UUGUUAGGUUUUAGAUGCUAAAUAAAAACCUUUAGGAAACUUGUUUGACUAAUUCCCUUCAUGCCUAUGCCACUUAGAGUUUAGAGUAUUUUUAGCUGAGUAUCGUUAGGUGGUUUAACUAAGUCAAUCGAGUAUAAGAUAUUUGCAUUGAGAGCAAGAGCUUCUAGAUUCAUUAAUUCUAUUAAUAGACACCUAGCAUUGCUUAGGAGAUUUUAAAAUUUUAUGGGGUCAAGCCUCUUCAGCU
rnacentral:lncRNA from 1 species